AUUGAACGCUGGCGGCAGGCCUAACACAUGCAAGUCGAACGGUAACAGGAAGCAGCUUGCUGCUUUGCUGACGAGUGGCGGACGGGUGAGUAAUGUCUGGGAAACUGCCUGAUGGAGGGGGAUAACUACUGGAAACGGUAGCUAAUACCGCAUAACGUCGCAAGACCAAAGAGGGGGACCUUCGGGCCUCUUGCCAUCGGAUGUGCCCAGAUGGGAUUAGCUAGUAGGUGGGGUAACGGCUCACCUAGGCGACGAUCCCUAGCUGGUCUGAGAGGAUGACCAGCCACACUGGAACUGAGACACGGUCCAGACUCCUACGGGAGGCAGCAGUGGGGAAUAUUGCACAAUGGGCGCAAGCCUGAUGCAGCCAUGCCGCGUGUAUGAAGAAGGCCUUCGGGUUGUAAAGUACUUUCGGCGGGGAGGAAGGGAGUAAAGUUAAUACCUUGGCUCAUUGACGUUACCCGCAGAAUAAGCACCGGCUAACUCCGUG
rnacentral:rRNA from 1 species